ACGCGCAGCAUUCUGUAGCAAUACAGGCUGUGGGCGCGUGGCGAACGGGUGCGUAACACGUGGAUAACCUUCCUUGAGGUGGGGAAUAACCCAGUGAAAAUUGGGCUAAUACCGCAUAACAUCGCGAUGGCACAUGCCGAUGCGAUCAAAGGCGCAAGUCGCCACAAGAGGGAUCCGCGGCCGAUUAGCUUGUUGGCGAGGUAAUGGCUCACCAAGGCAAUGAUCGGUAGCCGGACUGAGAGGUUGGCCGGCCACACUGGAACUGAGACACGGUCCAGACUCCUACGGGAGGCAGCAGUGGGGAAUCUUGCACAAUGGACGAAAGUCUGAUGCAGCAACGCCGCGUGGGGGAUGAAGCUUCUCGGAGUGUAAACCCCUUUCGACCCGGAAGAAUACCCGCAAGGGUAUGACGGUACGGGUAUAAGAAGCCCCGGCUAACUACGUGCCAGCAGCCGCGGUAAUACGUAGGGGGCCAGCGUUGCUCGGAAUUACUGGGCGUAAAGGGUCCGUAGGCGGUGUAGCAAGUCGAUAGUGAAAUCUCUGCGCUUAACGCAGAGGCUGCUAACGAAACUGCUGUGCUAGAGUGUGAGAGAGGCGAGUGGAAUUACGGGUGUAGCGGUGAAAUGCGUAGAUAUCCGUAGGAACAUCCGAGGCGAAGGCGGCUCGCUGGAUCACAACUGACGCUGAGGGACGAAAGCUAGGGGAGCAAACAGGAUUAGAUACCCUGGUAGUCCUAGCCCUAAAACCAUCAGGACUUGGGGUUUGCCCUGUACGGGGCAAGUCCCGUAGCUAACGCGUUAAAGUCCUGCGCCUGGGGAGUACGGUCGCAAGGGCUGAAACUCAAAGGAAUUGACGGGGG
rnacentral:rRNA from 1 species